rnacentral:pre_miRNA from 1 species
AAUAGAUGAUACUGUUGACUUUUUGUUGCACGUUUGACCAUUCGUCUUAUUCAAAAAAUGUACGUAAUUAUAAUUUAUUUUGUUACGAGUUGUUUUAUCACUCAAAAUACUUUAAGCAUGAUUUAUAUCUGGCAUUUGCAAAAAAAAAAAUUGAAUGAGACGAAUGGUCAAAUGUGCGACAAAAAGUCAACGGCGUCAUCUAUU